UUUUUGGAACACUGAAGGUACAGUUAAAAAUAAUCUGUAAUGAAUUACGCAUACACAUGCACACACAGACAGUAAUGAGCCAUCAACAAAGUCAGACUCCUCUAAACUAAAGGAAUUUUGACCAGCUGGAAAGAGAAGUAGUAAACUUUUAUAUUUACAUUUGUUUGUGCAGAUGUCAGGACACUGACUGUGCAAUCUGCAGCUGUUGGGUAGACGCAGUACAUUACGUGCCACAGCAUUAUUCCUGUCUUAAAGGUGUGUCAUUCAGCUGUAAAUUCCUCCAGCGUAUGCUAUCUUGCCGUCCACAUGGCAGGUAACACCGUGAUCCUCUUCUCUGAUCCUACGCUCUGAAGGAGUUAAAAAUGAGUAUGUUGUUUGUCUUCUAGAGGCCUCCAGGAGUGGAUAUGUCUCCCUGUUGACCAGCUGCUCAAACCAUUUUGGCUCUGUUCACAGUUCACUGGUGUCAACUGGAAGCUUUUCAUAGAUUUCAGUGGGCGUAGUGUGAGGUCUAAAAAUGAAUGAUUAUUGCUCUAAUGUUCAUAAUUUACAUUGCUUAGUAAGUUGAUCACAAUUUAUAGUACACUUUGUACUGCCUGACAAAGAAAAGAUAAAGGUUUAUCAUAGGUUAGAAGCAUGUUACAGAGAACAGUGUUCACUAUGGAAAGUAUAGUCACAGCAGCAGAAGUUCUUGGAUCUGCUUAUAGACACCCUAUUGCUAUAUUAGUUAUAUUCUAUAAAAAUGAGAACAAUAACUGCUUCUGAAAGCUAUUACCUUACAAAAAGACUUUUAAAAGUGAAAACUUAAUAUAUUCUACCCUAAUGUACUUUGGUUCUGCUAGAAAUAUUGGCCUUAAAAAAGAAAACUCAAACUUCCAGCGUUAACGUACAUCAAA